UUACUUACAAUUAGGCCCGAAGCACACC
rnacentral:sRNA from 1 species